rnacentral:rRNA from 1 species
GUCUUUUUGUAUAAAAUUUAAAGUCUGGCCUGCCCUAUGAUAUUUUAAAUGGCCGCAGUAUUUUGACUGUGCUAAGGUAGCAUAAUCAUUAGUUUUUUAAUUGAAAGCUGGAAUGAAGGGUUGGAUGAAAAAAUAACUGUCUCUAUAUAAAUUUAUUAAAAUUUUAUUUUUAAGUUAAAAAGCUUAAAUUAUUUUAAAAGACGAGAAGACCCUAUAGAGUUUUAUAAAAAAAAAUAUUUUAUUUUUUAGAUAUUAUUUUUUAAAAUAAUUAUUUUUAUUUAAUUGGGGUGAUUAAAAAAUUAAUUUAACUUUUUUUGUAUUUUUAUAUUAAUGAAUAAAUAAAUGAUCCAAUAAUUUUGAUUAUAAGAAAAAAUUACCUUAGGGAUAACAGCGUAAUUUUAUUAGAGAGUUCAAAUCGAUAAUAAAGUUUGCGACCUCGAUGUUGGAUUAAAAUUGAAUUUGGUGUAGAAGCUAAAAAAAUUCUAAGUCUGUUCGACUUUUAAAAUUUUACA